UUUAGCUUUAGUAACAAUUUUUAUGAACAAGGUUAAGACUCUCAAUUUUUAGUUUUCUUAGAGUGAUUACUAUAUUGGCGGAGAAUCAAGUGCCAGCACCCGCGGUUAUACUUGGGCUAAAAGUUAAACAAUAAACGUAAACAAACCUUAUAUUAUUUUGUCCUCUAAUUAAGUAGGGUGAAAAAUUUUAUAAGCCCUUCACGUGAACCGGAGUUGUGCCCGGGUAAUAGGGCAUAAAUAUAGUUGGGUAUAAACUCAAAUUUUGUGGCUGUUUUGAUGAACAAGAAUAGAGAAAUUUGAGUUUUGGCUAAUCCCCCGUAUUGUCUUCCUUUUAAUAGUCUGAGUGUGGUUGUCUAAAAAUUCCCCAAUCUUAAAAUUUAUGGUCAGAUAACAUUCAACUUAAAAGGCUUACUCGAAUUGCAAAAAAAAGAUUUAAUAAGUUUUUUAGAAAUUUUUAGGAUUUAUAAGUAAACGUAAAACGUUGAAUAUAACGCAUAAAAGCACAUAUUGUCCGUCACUCUCGUAAUGAGAUAAGUCGUAGCAAAGUAACUCUUGCAGAAGCAGGAG
rnacentral:rRNA from 1 species